rnacentral:tRNA from 1 species
GGAGAAGUGGCAGAGAGGCUGAAUGCGCCGCACUCGAAAUGCGGUAUGCUCGCAAGGGCAUCGGGGGUUCAAAUCCCUCCUUCUCCGCCA